UACGUAGGGCGCGAGCGUUGUCCGGAAUUAUUGGGCGUAAAGAGCUCGUAGGUGGCUUGUCGCGUCUGCCGUGAAAGCCCGUGGCUUAACUACGGGUCUGCGGUGGAUACGGGCAGGCUAGAGGCUGGUAGGGGCAAGCGGAAUUCCUGGUGUAGCGGUGAAAUGCGCAGAUAUCAGGAGGAACACCGGUGGCGAAGGCGGCUUGCUGGGCCAGUUCUGACGCUGAGGAGCGAAAGCGUGGGGAGCGAACAGG
rnacentral:rRNA from 1 species